GAGGACUCAUGCCUUAAGCACGAUUACUUUGAGUCAUUUCCUUUUCUUUUCUUCCAUUUUCUCAGAUGCUCAGCAGCCUUCAGUUUUGGGCCAGUGGUCGAUAAAUAGGGAGCCCGGUGCCUGCUGAGCAGUCACCCCCCUUCCUGCGUGCCCCCAGCCACCACUCUGCUUUCCAUCUCUGGACUCUCCUGUUCUAGAUGUGCCGUAGAAACGGUGUCAUGUGUGUUCUGAGACGGAGGCACCAAGGCUGAAUGGAAUUCAGCGUCAGGAAAAGCCCUCUUUCUGCUCCAAAGGUGGUGAAGUGCAUGAAGAUGAAGCAGGCCCCGGAAGUCCUGGGCAGCGCCAACGGGAAGACCCCGAGCUGCGACGUGAGCCGAGAGUGCUCCGUGUUCCUGAGCAAAGCCCAGCUCUCGGCCGGCCUGCAGGACGGGGUUGUGCAGAAGUUCAACGGCCACGACGCGUUGCCAUUCAUCCCGGCCGAGAGGCUGAAAGACCUCACCUCCCGCGUCUUCAAUGGAGAGCCUGGUGCUCACGAUGCCAAACUGCGUUUUGAACCCCAGGAAGUGAAGGGACUUGGGACCCCACCUCACACUACCCCUGUCAAAAAUGGCUCUCCAGAAAUUAAGCUGAAAAUCACCAAAACCUACAUGAAUGGGAAACCUCUCUUUGAGUCCUCCAUAUGUGGCGACGGUGCGGCCGCCGUGUCCCGUUCGGAAGCAGACGGACAGAGACCGGAGCACAAGGCCCGGAGGAGCCGCAAGAGAAGCGCACAGCGUGGCUCUUUGCUGGAGCACGGCCGCGGGGAGGCUGCCCUGGUGUCCAGGGUCUCCAGUCCUGUGGACAAAAAGAUUCCAGCUAAGAGAGAGUCCUGUCUGAACAGCAGCAGAGACGAAGGCCAGCCGUUGAGGUUCGGGGUCGGGGACCUGGUGUGGUCCAAGGUGUCCGGCUACCCGUGGUGGCCCUGCAUGGUCUCUGCCGACCCGCUCCUGCACAGCCACACCAGGCUGAAAGGUCAGAAAAAGAGUGCACGCCAGUAUCACGUACAGUUCUUUGGUGAUGCCCCAGAAAGAGCUUGGAUAUUUGAGAAGAGCCUUGUAGCUUUUGAAGGAGAAGGACAGUUUGAAAAAUUAUGCCAGGAAAGUGCCAAGCAGGCACCCACGAAAGCUGAGAAAAUUAAGCUGUUGAAGCCCAUUUCAGGGAAGUUGAGGGCCCAGUGGGAAAUGGGCCUCGUUCAGGCCGAGGCCGCCGCGCGCAUGGCGGUGGAGGAGCGGAGGGCCAAGUUCACGUUCCUCUACGUGGGGGACCAGCUCCGCCUCAACCCCCAUGUGGCCAAGGAGGCGGGUGUGGCUGCGGAGUCUCUGGGAGAAGCGGCAGAGCCCUCAGGAGGCGGAGAAGACAGCCCUAAGUCCUCGGGGGAGGAGGGCGCGCCUGUCAAGAGGAGACGGAGGGCCAAGCUGUCCAGCUCCACCGAGAACCUCCCUGGCGACCCGGGGCUGGGGCGGGCCACACCGCGGAAGGUGGCUGAGGCCGACCCCAGGAGGGGUGCGGGAUCCCCCCCCGGCAGGAAGAAGGCCACAGCCUCCACCCCAAGGAGUCGGAGGGGCGACGCGGCGUCCCGGUUCCUGGUCUUCUGUCAGAAGCACAGGGACGAGGUGGUCGCCGAGCACCCGGACGCCUCUGCCGAGGAGAUCGAGGAGCUACUCGCCUCGCAGUGGAGCGCGCUCAGCGAGAAGCAGAAGGCGCGCUAUCACACCAAGUUUGCGCUCGCGGCUCCGGCCCCGUCCGAGGAAGGCUCUGGUAACUUCAGUGGGAAGAGAAGGAGCCACGCGAAGAGGACCCAGGGCCUGAGCGGAGACGCUGAGGCUGAGGAGGCCCCCAGGAAGAGGCUUAGGACCGACAGGCUCGGCCUGCGGAAGAGAGAGGCGAUCACUGACAAAGCAGCCCGCACGAGCUCCUGCAAGGCCCUCGAGGCGGCGUCCUCGCUGAAGAGUCAGGCAGCCACGAAACACCUGUCUGACGCCUGCAAGCCCCUGAAGAAGCGCCACCGGGCCCCGGCAGCAGCCGCCGCCACCCUCACCUUCAGCAAAAGCUCGUCUCCUUCCGCGUCCUUAACUGAGCACGAGGUCUCGGACGGCCCCGGAGACGAGCCCCCGGAGUCCCCGGACGAGAGCGCGGACGAAACCCAGACCGAGGCGUCCCUCUCCUCUAAGAGGUCCGAGCGCGGGGCCACCGCCAGGAAGGAGCACGUGUGCCAGCUGUGCGAGGAGCCGGGCAGCCUGGUGCUGUGCGAGGGUCCCUGCUGCGGCGCCUUCCACCUGGCCUGCCUAGGCCUCUCCCGCAGGCCGGAGGGGCGGCUCCUGUGCGGAGAGUGCACCUCAGGGACCCACUCGUGCUUCGUGUGUAAGGAGAGCAAGAGUGACGUCAAGCGCUGCGUGGUGUCGCAGUGUGGGAAGUUCUACCACGAGGCCUGCGUGCGCAGGUUCCCCCUGACAGUGUUCGAGAGCCGGGGCUUCCGAUGCCCGCUUCACAGCUGCCUGAGUUGCCACGCCUCCAACCCCUCGAACCCAAGGCCCUCGAAAGGUAAGAUGCUGCGGUGUGUCCGGUGCCCCGUCGCCUACCACGGAGGGGAUGCGUGUCUGGCAGCGGGCUGCUCGGUGAUCGCGCCCAACAGCAUCAUCUGCACGAACCAUUUCACCGCCCGGAAGGGCAAGAGGCACCACGCGCACGUCAACGUGAGCUGGUGCUUCGUGUGCUCCAAAGGGGGGAGCCUGCUGUGCUGUGAGUCCUGCCCGGCGGCCUUCCACCCCGACUGCCUGAGCAUCGACAUGCCGGACGGCAGCUGGUUCUGCAACGACUGCAGGGCCGGGAAGAAGCUGCACUUCCAGGACAUCAUCUGGGUGAAGCUCGGGAACUACAGAUGGUGGCCGGCAGAAGUUUGCCAUCCCAAAAAUGUCCCCCCAAAUAUUCAGAAAAUGAAGCACGAGGUUGGAGAAUUCCCUGUGUUUUUCUUUGGGUCUAAAGAUUAUUACUGGACGCAUCAGGCGCGAGUGUUCCCGUACAUGGAGGGGGACCGGGGCAGCCGCUACCAGGGGGUCAGAGGGAUCGGAAGAGUCUUCAAAAACGCACUGCAAGAAGCUGAAGCCCGUUUCCGUGAAAUCAAACUUCAAAGGGAAGCCAGAGAGACGCAGGAGAGCGAGCGCAGGCCCCCGCCCUACAAGCACAUCAAGGUGAACAAGCCCUACGGGAAGGUGCAGGUCCACACAGCGGACAUCUCUGAGAUCCCCAAGUGCAACUGCAAGCCCACCGACGAGAACCCGUGCGGCUCGGAGUCGCAGUGUCUGAACCGCAUGCUCAUGUUCGAGUGCCACCCCCAAGUGUGCCCCGCGGGCGAGUCCUGCCAGAACCAGUGCUUCACCAAGCGCCAGUACCCCGAGACCAAGAUCGUCAGGACGGACGGCAAGGGCUGGGGCCUGGUGGCCAAGAGGGACAUCAGGAAGGGGGAGUUUGUGAACGAGUACGUGGGCGAGCUGAUUGACGAGGAGGAGUGCAUGGCGAGGAUCAAGCGUGCGCACGAGAACGACAUCACCCAUUUCUACAUGCUCACCAUAGACAAGGACCGCAUCAUCGACGCCGGCCCCAAGGGGAAUUACUCCCGGUUCAUGAACCACAGCUGCCAGCCCAACUGCGAGACCCUCAAGUGGACGGUGAACGGGGACACGCGCGUGGGCCUGUUCGCCGUGUGUGACAUCCCCGCAGGGACAGAGCUGACCUUCAACUACAACCUCGACUGUCUGGGCAACGAGAAGACGGUGUGUCGCUGCGGAGCCUCCAACUGCAGUGGCUUCCUCGGUGACAGGCCGAAGACGUCAGCACCCCUGUCCUCGGAGGAGAAGGGCAAGAAGACCAAGAAAAAGGCCAGGAGGCGCCGCACGAAAGGCGAAGGGAAGAAGCCGUCCGAGGACGAGUGCUUCCGCUGCGGGGACGGCGGCCAGUUGGUGCUGUGCGACCGCAAGUCCUGCACCAAGGCCUACCACCUGCCCUGCCUGGGCCUGGGCAAGCGGCCCUUCGGGAAGUGGGAGUGCCCUUGGCACCACUGCGACGUGUGUGGCAAACCCUCCACUGCCUUCUGCCACUUCUGCCCCAACUCCUUCUGCAAGGAGCACCAGGACACAGCGGCCUUCAGCUCCACCCAGGACGGGCGGGCGUGCUGCAGUGAGCACGACUUCCGGGCAGAGCCGGCUCGGAGCACCAAGACCGAGGAGCCGUGCUCAGGGCCCAGCAAGGCGCGGGGGCGGCGGCGGCGGCGGCGGUGUUGGCGCAGGGUCAUGGAGGGCAAAUAGCGCCUGGCUGGGCCGACCAGGGGUGGCUGCAGGCGGGCGGAGGGCCGGGCCUGGCAGCGUCGGAGGACCCCGCCCCCGGCCCCUGGCCCCGGCAUAGACGCACAGGCCUCCCCAGGGGGGAGCGUCCCGCCACUGAGCCAUCUCAGCAGCGCCCGCUGCGCCCGCACUGACCGUCCGAGCCACGUGGGCGCCCCGCGAGGCGCCAGCGUCCCAGGACAGACAGCCUCACUACACAGCGUCACAGCUACACUCGAACCUCAGCCCGUCCGUGCCCCGCUGUUCUAGGCCGAACUUGGGGCUGAAGAUUGCUGGCACAUGAAAUGCAUUUCUCUCGCCCGGGUGCUGUUUCCCUGAGGGUCUCAUCCCCAGGCUUCACGACGUUGCCCGCCUCCCGCCCGCCCGCGUCACUCAGGAGAGGAGCCCAGGGUGGGGCCUGGCAAGGACCGGGACCCAGGAUGCCUUGGGAACGUGGUUUUGACUAUUGCGCUUAUGAAACAGCUCUAUGGUUUUUUUUUUUUGUACUAAUGUGAAGUUUUUCCUCAAAGUGCUUCUUUUCCAUCCUAGUGAGAAGCCAGUAGUAUAGCGUGUGACCCCGGAGCGGCUCCGGCUGUGGACCUGACCCCACGGCAGGCCUGCGGCACAGGCCUGUGAGCAGCUCUCUGGGCCCUCGUGCGGAAGCGUUUGUGGAUGAUUUUGGUUGGUUUUUCUUUACCAGUUUCUGGCUUUUACUCUCAAUAUAUUUUUGCUAAACUUGUUUCACAAACUACCACCGACUGCAAUGCUUGUUUACUGAUGCGUCCCGAGUUCCCGCAGCUGCAGGACGGAGCGGUGGGUGUGGGCCCUGCUGAGGAGCCUGGGCUGCCCGGUGCCCCCACUGGGCCUGGAGCUUGAGGGGAACCUGUGUCCAGACAGCUCUUUCGGGCUGAGGAGAGGCUGCCUGGGCGGGGGCAGUGGGAGCCGGGCUGGGUGGAUAGGCUUGGUGGGGGCACUCAAGCCGGGCUGCUGGGUGUGGGCACCUGGCCUUGCGACAGCCAGCCGAUACCCCAGGGCACUGCGUGGACCUGGGCCCGGGCACGAUGCCAGCAGGAGCCCCCUUGCCUGCCCGUCUCCGCGCGAGGGGAGCGGCCGCUCAGCAGCUGCUGUUCUCUGACCCUUUCGCUGAAACCACCCAGACGACGUACAUCCUGCGGUUUACACACCUGCCCCGGAAAACCGCGCCUGAGGCCCCGUUCGUCUCGCCGUGCCGCUGCAGAAUUGCAGGACUGUCAGGUGCCCAGUUCUUGACCCUACGAGACGUGUAGCGAACGAGGACACGCUCACGUGCGGACGCUGUCUGCGGGUGGCAUGGUGCCCACCGCCCCGCCGAGACGACUCCAGCAGCACCUGGGUGUCGGCGUCAGUCACCCGGAAGGGGGCCAGGCUCCAGCUCUGGGGCACCCGGUGCUACUGCCAGUUCUGACAUUUAAGAACUUGAACUUCACUUCUGGGGGAUAUACUGAAAUGUAGAUUUG